CAAGGCUUGACAUAUAGAGGAAACGUCUGGAAACAGUCGCCCCGCAAGGUCUCUAUACAGGUGGUGCAUGGUUGUCGUCAGCUCGUGUCGUGAGAUGUUGGGUUAAGUCCCGCAACGAGCGCAACCCUCGUCCUAUGUUGCCAGCACGUAAUGGUGGGAACUCAUGGGAGACUGCCGGGGUCAACUCGGAGGAAGGUGGGGAUGACGUCAAAUCAUCAUGCCCCUUAUGUCUUGGGCUUCACGCAUGCUACAAUGGCCGGUACAAAGGGCUGCAAUACCGUAAGGUGGAGCGAAUCCCAAAAAGCCGGUCUCAGUUCGGAUUGAGGUCUGCAACUCGACCUCAUGAAGUUGGAGUCGCUAGUAAUCGUGGAUCAGCAACGCCACGGUGAAUACGUUCCC
rnacentral:rRNA from 1 species